ACAGCCCCAGUCGUACCUGUCUUCUUUGAUAACGUCCACAAAGUGGGCGUCCGUUUUCUCCCGGAUGUUCUUGAACCUCAGCGGAAGGAGAGCCGACUGGUCCAGGCUCACCCCUGCCCACCUUCCCUUCUCCUGCAAGAUCUCACACAGAGAAGUCUGACUGUUGGUGAGCUUCUCCUCUUGGGGAGGGCUGAGGAGCCCGUUCUGAGUUUUGGGAUUAGGUCCUCCAGAAGCCUGCCUCGAGACAAAGAGGACGCAGACACGGGAAGUGAAGUGGCACCGGGCACUGGGCACACACGCCUGUCCCACCCCGACCUCCGCUGCGGGGCGCUGCUGCACUGGGCGUGGGACUUUCUGACCUGCGAGGAACCCCCACCCCCCUGCGCCUACAGACCUGCUCCAAUCCCAGCCCUGACUGCCCGUCUGCUCCUUCCUGUUACCCAACAGUGCCCAGUGGUAACGCUGGGUGUUCAGGCUGCCAGGACAUUGAGACAUGGGAAGAGUCGGUGCGGAGGUGGAGGGGAAGGGAGGAAAGUGAGGAGCCGAGGCCCCCAGAGUCUGCUUAGGCCAGAACCACGGUUCUGGGAGCAGGGUGCAUGGGUCGGGGGUCCAGGAGAAGUAUGACGAGGGGUCCAGGGCUGUCAGGGCACAGGCAAGGUGGAUGGAAACGGGCUCGUGUCGUGGGUGUCCCCCGUGGCUGUGGGAAGGCAUGGGAUGACCUGCACCUGCAAUCCUUUGGCAGAUGGAGAGCAGAUGGAGGACGAGAGCCCGCGCCCCAGCCUUUCUCGCCGUGAAGACCCCCUCUUGUCUCUGCCCGUCUAUAUUCUCUCAUAAACUGAGUCCAGCUUCCAGUACCACAAAUCCCCUCCCGGCACUCGAAUCCACGCAUUUUAAACCCUUAUUGGCCUUUAAAGGAAUCCCGCCCAGCUCAGCCCCUGAGCGCUGGUUUCCACGUGGGUUGCUGCUGACCCUCCCUCGAGCUCCCUGCCGGUCUCUUCAACACCCGGAGGACCCGCGGGUGCGGAGUGCUGUUACCCAAGAGGAGUUACUCUCAGAACUAAGAAGUCGACAAGACAGGAAUGUCACCUUGGGUGGAUGCGCCAGGAGAGGAACUGACAGGAACAACAGCCAUGAGCUUGUUACCUUGGUGCUGUUUUUAUGCUCGUCUUGGCAGCCGUUUUGAGGUGCUCCUCCCUCGGCGCCGGCUUCAGAUUUGGGAGCAAAUGUGAUUCCGCACGAAGGGCAGGUCUAGAAGAAAAACACAGACUGUGGGGACACACCCAGAAACCGCGACUGCCACCCUGAAUUCAGGCAGGUCCGCUGUUGCCAUCUGCCGUCACGCAGCAUGGUGGUGAGCAAGGGGAAGGCACACAGAACCGCUCGGGGAUGAGCUGAAAGCCAACGGGCAAAGUGACAGUGGAAACACACAGAAACCCGGGCACGAACGCAACAGGACCCAAAAAUGGAACCGGGAAUGUUCACUGACUGAACAAUGGAUCAACAAACUGUGGUCUAUUCGAACAAUGGGAUAUUACUCAGCCACGAAAAAGACGGAAGCACUGACGCCUGCCACAGCAUGGUGAACCUCGAAAACAUUAUGCUCGGGGAGGGAAGCCAGACACAGCACAGAUAUUACGUGAUCCCGUCUAUGUGAAAUAUUCAGAAAAGGUGAAUCCUUGGAGGGAGAAGGCAGAUUCCUGGCUGCCAGGCGGGACCGGGGGCAGGAAGGGGGAGUGGCUGCUAAGGGGCGUGGGGUUUGCUACGAUUCGAAUGUUUGUGCCCCCUCAAAAGUCAGACGCUGAAAUCCUAAUUCCCAAGGGGAUGGCAUUGGGGGGCAAAGCCUUGGGAGGUAAUUAGGUCAUGGGGGACAAGCCUUCAAAAUAGGAUUAGUGCCCUCAUAAAAGAGGCCCCAGAGGAAUCCCUCGUCCCUUCGCCCUGGGAGAAGGCACCAUCUGUGAAGCAGGAACGGGUCCUCACUGGACACUGAAUCUUCCGGGACCUUGAUCUCGGACUUCCCAGCCUCCAGAACCCUGAGAAAUACAUUUCUGUUGUUUAAAAGCCA